rnacentral:rRNA from 1 species
UACGGGGGAUGCAAGCGUUAUCCGGAAUUAUUGGGCGUAAAGGGUCCUGAGGUGGCUAGCCAAGUCUAUUGUGAAAUAUCAGGGCUUAACCCUGAACAUGCGGUGGAAACUAGAAAGCUUGAGUACAGUAGGGGCGGAGGGAAUUUCCGGUGGAGCGGUGAAAUGCAUAGAUAUCGGGAAGAACACCAACGGCGAAAGCACUCCGCUGGGCUGAUACUGGACACUGACAGACGAAAGCUAGGGUAGCGAAAGGG